rnacentral:rRNA from 1 species
AUUGAACGCUGGCGGCAUGCCUUACACAUGCAAGUCGAACGGCAGCACGGGUGCUUGCACCUGGUGGCGAGUGGCGAACGGGUGAGUAAUACAUCGGAACAUGUCCUGUAGUGGGGGAUAGCCCGGCGAAAGCCGGAUUAAUACCGCAUACGAUCCACGGAUGAAAGCGGGGGAUCUUCGGGCCUCGCGCUAUAGGGUUGGCCGAUGGCUGAUUAGCUAGUUGGUGGGGUAAAGGCCUACCAAGGCGACGAUCAGUAGCUGGUCUGAGAGGACGACCAGCCACACUGGGACUGAGACACGGCCCAGACUCCUACGGGAGGCAGCAGUGGGGAAUUUUGGACAAUGGGCGAAAGCCUGAUCCAGCAAUGCCGCGUGUGUGAAGAAGGCCUUCGGGUUGUAAAGCACUUUUGUCCGGAAAGAAAUCCUUGGCUCUAAUACAGUCGGGGGAUGACGGUACCGGAAGAAUAAGCACCGGCUAACUACGUG